rnacentral:rRNA from 1 species
UACGUAGGUGGCAAGCGUUGUCCGGAAUUACUGGGCGUAAAGAGCGCGCAGGCGGUCGUGCAAGUCGCGUGUGAAAGCCCCCGGCUCAACUGGGGAGGGUCAUUCGAUACUGUUCGACUCGAAGGCAGGAGAGGGAAGUGGAAUUCCCGGUGUAGUGGUGAAAUGCGUAGAUAUCGGGAGGAACACCAGUGGCGAAGGCGACUUCCUGGCCUGUUCUUGACGCUGAGGCGCGAAAGCUAGGGGAGCAAACGGGG